rnacentral:rRNA from 1 species
AUCAGGUAGGAAUACCCGCUGAACUUAAGCAUAUCAAUAAGCGGAGGAAAAGAAACCAACAGGGAUUGCCCCAGUAACGGCGAGUGAAGCGGCAACAGCUCAAAUUUGAAAUCUGGCUCUCGGGCCCGAGUUGUAAUUUGUAGAGGAUGCUUUUGGUGAGGUGCCUUCCGAGUUCCCUGGAACGGGACGCCAUAGAGGGUGAGAGCCCCGUCUGGUUGGACACCGAUCCUCUGUAAAGCUCCUUCGACGAGUCGAGUAGUUUGGGAAUGCUGCUCUAAAUGGGAGGUAUAUGUCUUCUAAAGCUAAAUACCGGCCAGAGACCGAUAGCGCACAAGUAGAGUGAUCGAAAGAUGAAAAGAACUUUGAAAAGAGAGUUAAAAAGUACGUGAAAUUGUUGAAAGGGAAGCGCUUGUGACCAGACUUGGGCUUGGUUGAUCAUCCGGGGUUCUCCCCGGUGCACUCUUCCGGCUCAGGCCAGCAUCAGUUCGCCCUGGGGGAUAAAGGCUUCGGGAAUGUGGCUCUCUCCGGGGAGUGUUAUAGCCCGCUGCGUAAUACCCUGUGGCGGACUGAGGUUCGCGC